AUUGAACGCUGGCGGCAGGCCUAACACAUGCAAGUCGAACGAGUGGCGGACGGGUGAGUAAUGUCUGGGAAACUGCCUGAUGGAGGGGGAUAACUACUGGAAACGGUAGCUAAUACCGCAUACCAUCGGAUGUGCCCCGAUGGGAUUAGCUAUUCGGUGGGGUAAAGGCUCACCUAGGCGACGAUCCCUAGCUGGGCUGAGAGGAUGACCAGCCACACUGGAACUGAGACACGGUCCAGACUCCUACGGGAGGCAGCAGUGGGGAAUAUUGCACAAUGGGGGCAAGCCUGAUGCAGCCAUGCCGCGUGUAUGAAGAAGGCAUUCGGGUUGUAAAGUACUGUCAGCGGGGAGGCGUUACCCGCAGAAGAAGCACCGGCUAACUCCGUGCCAGCCGCCGCGGUAAUUC
rnacentral:rRNA from 1 species